rnacentral:rRNA from 1 species
UACGUAGGUGGCAAGCGUUGUCCGGAUUUACUGGGCGUAAAGAGCGCGCAGGCGGUCGAUUUAGUCGUGUGUGAAAGCCCCCGGCUCAACUGGGGAGGGUCACGCGAUACUGAUCGACUCGAAGGCAGGAGGGGGUAGUGGAAUUCCCGGUGUAGUGGUGAAAUGCGUAGAUAUCGGGAGGAACACCAGUGGCGAAGGCGACUUCCUGGCCUGUUCUUGACGCUGAGGCGCGAAAGCUAGGGUAGCAACCGGG